GGACAGGCAAAACUGGACAAGCAGCAGUUGAGGAUGGAUGCACAGGAGAGAGAAGAGAGUGGACUUAACGAUAUAUGAUAAAAGAAAACUUAGAAAAAGAAGAAUAAGACUUAAAUAGUUUAAACUCAGGACACAUGAUCAAUAAGUGCUUUUCUGGGACUAUUCUCAGCAUAUUAUUGCUGGUUCAUAAUGUUUUAAUGGCACGCCUAAAGGAUGCCACUGCUGCUCAUACCAAAUGAUCCAGGGAGUCUGGUGUUGAUUGUCCAAACGCAAUUCUUGUAUUGCUUCUCCAUAUCCAGGAGUUGUGGAUGGACAUCAUGCCCCCAACUCUCGCUUGCAUCUUUUUACGUCUUAGAGCAGUAAAACCGAAACUCACACAAGGAUUUACUCGUGCAUAUGAAAAUUUUGACUUUGCAGAGCUCACACACACACAGGACACCACUGAUGAACUGUAUGAGUUUUGAAUUUACUUGUUUAAAAGGGUUUCUCAAUUCAACCUUAUUCCUUCAAACUGAUUCAUUUUCGUUGAGCUGGGAGAUGCUUCAUGUUCUUUAGGGCCACAGCAUUUGACAUGGCCUGACAUUUGUCAGUUCUCCGUAAACUGUGAGUUUUUGUGAACAGUUUCAUCUAUUUUAGACGAAUGUAAAACGUGAAGAAACAAAUGCUCCUCUUAAAGACAAGGACCUGCGGCCCACUUGCUAUCUGGAUCGUUGCUAUAACUGAAUGUGAAAACGUUCAUCCUUUAUCUCUCUCUGGGGGAGAACAAAAUUGUUGGGGGAUGAGGAGAUAUUCUGGUGCAGGCAGGGCCUCGUGGCCUACGUUUGGCCAAGUAUUGGUGAGGAUGACAGAAGGCUGUUUCGUCCAUGUGCCAAACAUGUCCUGGAUUAUAUAACCUUUCAUGUGUAUAAAUUAAGUUUAGAAAAUACAAGUUUACGUAAGUCAAUGCUCAGUUAUUUCAUGUUACUGUGACUUGAAGCAUCUGGGGAAAAAACUAAAUUCCACUUCUUUUGUUCAAUAUUUAUUGAAUAUUUAUAAUUAAUUAUACUGGGAGUAAUUGAAAAGCAAAAACAGGAACUAUAUGCUCAAACUAUAAAGAGCCCCCAGGGAAGAUGUGAAUCAUAUAUCCAACUCAGCAACAAACUCAACAGAUCAGUGGCUCAGCCUGGAGCUGGGAUAACCUUUGGAGGUUUCCAUACAUCGCUGCAUGGAUGCUUGUAUGUAUUAGCUUGUAUGUAACAGCAUAGUUGCCUAAGUCAUUAUGGAUAUUGUAAAAGUAAGUCAACAACUGACUUCGUCAACGAUGCUAUUAAUUAAAAAUAUGAUUUAUUAGUUUUUUGUUUUUGUUUUUUGAAAAUAUGUAGAUUGCAUUUUCAUUCUGAAGUCAUAAUGUGACCCGCUAAGAUCUGUAUUUAUCCCUCUGUUUACUACAUUUUUUUCAUUGAGCUGUUUUUCUGGAAAAAUAAAGUUUCAGACAUCUCUGA